ensembl:lncRNA
GAUGAAAUUAUCUUCCUCGCUUUUCCAGGGACCCAACUCAAACGACCACGACUACGCCAUGCCCAGAAAGCGUGCGAAAGUGGAGGAGAAAGAGACAGCGGGUGGCGUGUGUCUGCACGUGGACAAGAACCACGUCUCAGUGGAGUUCUGCACCAAGUGUGCAGAGAGUGCGAGCACAUCGCUCAAAAUGUAGGGUCAAGUACCUUUGUGUUUUCAGAUAUUGGGGCUGAACGUGAUGUGGCUCUUUACCGAACGUUCCUGAGGGUGGAUCAACACCGUUGAAUUAGUUAAGAUACCUAAGAACUGCUGAAUGUGCAUGUGUAAUGCUGGAUUGAGUACACGUUACUGCUAAACCUUGUUGACAGUUUCUUCUAGGUAAUGGUUGAUGCACCAUGCGGGAUGAGUGGCUUUCUGAACACCUUUACCUCCUUGACUCCAUGUGGAUUCUGCUGGGGAAGGUGAAGAGGCUGGACAAGCUGCUGCCAACGUUGCCUGGUAUUUUUUUAAAGGUAGUAUCGGUAACAAAUGGUAUGCGUGAUCAUAUUUCAUUCUCAACAUCUGUAGCUUUUGUCAGCGUAGCAAAUUGAGCUUUUUUGGGGGCUUGACUACAGCUGCUCAAUUCCUCAUGAUGUGAUGAGAUUUACUAGUCUCAUUAUUAUGUCUUGUGUAUAUUGACUUACUGGAAUGUGUACAGCAGAUACAUCCCAAAUUAUCUGAUCGAAGUGGUGAGAAAGCCAUCUUUGUGUAACUAAAUGUAAAUGUGUAUAUAAUUUGAAUACAUAUUGUUUGAGGCAAAUGACCUGAUGUUGGACAAAUAAAUCAUAUUUUCAUUAAGAUUUGAGUAACUAAUAUCUACUGUGUCUUGUUCUGUGCUGUUGAUAUUAAUGCAUCUCUUUUUCUCUUUCUAAACAGCAAGCUCUCUGCCGAUAAUGGUCUUACUUUUCCUGGUCUGGUAAAGGUUUUCAAAACUAAUGACCACAACCUCAUUUGAUGGGUACAAAGCAGUGCAGUAUGCAGGGAGUCCUCGUCCUGCCCAUUCACUUCAAGCCAUAGCAGCAUCCGUCAGUCUCUCUUUAACGCUUUAAAAUAAUAUUUUAUGACGGACCAUUUCCAUUGCCGGCGUUAGAAAAGCUCUGGUGAAUUGGGUAGUGGGAGCUGUGUUCUAGUGUCCAGUUAGCCAGCACAGCCACCCCGUGGCUCCCUAAGUGGAAUGUAUCCAUAGAUAAAGGGAUGGUUCGGAUCUUUGGUUCACGUCACUAAGUGUUUCAUCACCUCAGUAGGUAAAGCGGCACAGAAGCAAAGCGUCGUACUGCUGCAGAGAGUUUCCACUUCUCCUUUUUCAAAGCCACCAUUGCCAAACUAGUCCAUCUUUCUCUGGGAACACGAGCGCUGCUCAGACAGCCGUUGUAACACAAUGAGAAGUAGUUCAUGCAAAUGCACUUUCUAAAAAUCUGAACUAUCACUUAAGUAAUAUUUUUAAGUUUUCCUACUGCCCAAGAACAAAGCGGAUUAUAUGUGCUGGGGGCUUUCAUGGGCCUGGACCGGUCUGACAAACCGUUACGCGUGUCCUACCUCACACCAGAGGGGACGCAAACCGGCGCACCAACCACA